ensembl:lncRNA
CUCCCCCCGCAACGAAAUUUUGACAUCUUUUCCACAUGCAGAUGUCAUUGCUGUUUUAAACAAUGCAACUAGUGGAAGCGGCACGGUGCUUAGUGUUGCCAGAUUGGAAAUGGUGAAGUAUCGUACCAAAUGCUCAAAAUAAUCGUCUUUGGAGGAUAAUUAUCGUGCAUCUGGCAACACUGAGAGGCCGGUCGACCAAUGACAGUUCUCGCUACAGUCAGAGCUUGUGCUAGAAGGUGGAACGGGAGAUACCCUUUCCUAAACUUGUAAGGGCGUAAAAACUAGUUUGUGAAGGACCCAGAGAAACACAAAUAUCCGACGAGGCAAAAUCCUGGACGAUUUUGCAAUCACUGCCGGACGCAUUUUUUAGGUCUCGAAAAGAGGACAUGUCCAGGUAAAAGAGGACGUCUGGUCACUCCACCAAAGGAGAUAUUUUAGUAAUCCUGUCGCUGCUAAGCGUCCUUAUCUGGAAUAUCAUGAUGUCAAUUUGAGACGCACUUUGUCCCUUCGUGCACUUCCUGUCUACCUGCGUGAGGAUGUUUCUGUGUUCAAGACCUGCAAUGUAAGCCCUGUUAAUAUCCAUAAAUAUAACAAAAUCUGAUUGUGUCUUCGGGUAUUUUACAUAAUGAAAAUAAUUCCAGAAUAUAUUUGCAUUUUUGUUCCAAGUCUGUCUGUCAGUUUUUUGUAAGUGUUUCCAUUGAAACUCUCCUGGUAAUUGUAUUGAUGGUGUUUUGCAGGAGGAAGAGGAGCCAGAUUUUGAUGAUGCUCCUGUUGCUCUCCUUACAUCGGGUCCCGACCCCUUCAGCUGCGAGAACAUCUUUGAAUUGGGUGCAGAGGUUUUCUGAGGCAUUUAUGCUGUUGUUUGGCCUGACAUAUGCUUUCAAUUUAGAAUAUCCCAAAAAACUCACGCACACAUUCUCAUACAGAACAUUUGUAUGUGUCUGGAUGACAACAAACCUCUGAAACGGUCCU